rnacentral:rRNA from 1 species
GAUGAACGCUGGCGGCGUGCUUAACACAUGCAAGUCGAACGGAAAGGCUCCUGCUUGCAGGGGUACUCGAGUGGCGAACGGGUGAGUAACACGUGGGUGAUCUGCCCAGCACUUCGGGAUAAGCCUGGGAAACUGGGUCUAAUACCGGAUAGGACGAUGGCUUGGAUGCCAUUGUGGAAAGUUUUUUCGGUGUGGGAUGAGCUCGCGGCCUAUCAGCUUGUUGGUGGGGUAAUGGCCUACCAAGGCGUCGACGGGUAGCCGGCCUGAGAGGGUGUACGGCCACAUUGGGACUGAGAUACGGCCCAGACUCCUACGGGAGGCAGCAGUGGGGAAUAUUGCACAAUGGGCGCAAGCCUGAUGCAGCGACGCCGCGUGGGGGAUGACGGCCUUCGGGUUGUAAACUCCUUUCGCUAGGGACGAAGCGCAAGUGACGGUACCUGGAGAAGAAGCACCGGCUAACUACGUG